CUCUCUCUAUCUCUCCCCCAUCACAUCUCUCUCUACAAUUUCCAUUUUCUUCUUCUUCUUCUUCUUUCUGCAGCCCCCACACCUUGCUUUCUUUCCUCUCAGCUUUUGUGUUUUUUCAUUUUUCUUCAUCCCUCUCUCACUUUAUCAAUUUUCCAGAAAACGAAUAUGGAUUUAAUUUUUUUCUGUAAUUUAUCUGCGUUAUAUUGGAUUUGGGUCUCCUCCAAUUGGGAUUUUCAUCCAAAAACCACCAGGAACAUAACCGGGUCUUUGCAUGCACCAUCGGUGCACUGGGAAGUGCAGUGACCCUAAACCCGAGAGCUUCAAGAUCUAGCUUGUAGUUUCAUGUGAGAUUUCCUUGUUCCUUUGAAUAUUUGAGAUUUUCUUCUUGGUGUUGUGAUUCCGAGUGAAGACUUAAUUGUUAAAUUUUGUUCUUUUCGCUGUG